rnacentral:rRNA from 1 species
GACGAACGCUGGCGGCGUGCCUAAUACAUGCAAGUAGAACGCACAGUUUAUACCGUAGCUUGCUACACCAUAGACUGUGAGUUGCGAACGGGUGAGUAACGCGUAGGUAACCUGCCUGGUAGCGGGGGAUAACUAUUGGAAACGAUAGCUAAUACCGCAUAAUAUUAAUUAUUGCAUGAUAAUUAAUUGAAAGGUGCAAUUGCACCACUACCAGAUGGACCUGCGUUGUAUUAGCUAGUAGGUGAGGUAACGGCUCACCUAGGCGACGAUACAUAGCCGACCUGAGAGGGUGAUCGGCCACACUGGGACUGAGACACGGCCCAGACUCCUACGGGAGGCAGCAGUAGGGAAUCUUCGGCAAUGGACGAAAGUCUGACCGAGCAACGCCGCGUGAGUGAAGAAGGUUUUCGGAUCGUAAAGCUCUGUUGUAAGAGAAGAACGGGUGUGAGAGUGGAAAGUUCACACUGUGA